rnacentral:tRNA from 1 species
GCAGUGGUGGUUCAGCGGUAGAAUUCUUGUCUUCCAUGCUGGACACCUGGAUUCAACUCCCGGUCAAUGCA